GAGUUUGAACCUGGCUCAGGAUGAACGCUGGCGGCGUGCCUAACACAUGCAAGUCGAACGAAGCCAUGCCGACGGAACUCUCCGGAGGGAAGACGGCACGGACUUAGUGGCGGACGGGUGAGUAACGCGUGGGUAACCUGCCCUGUACAGGGGGACAACAGCCGGAAACGGCUGCUAAUACCGCAUAAGCCUGCGGGGCCGCAUGGCCCGGCAGGAAAAGCUGCGGCGGUACAGGAUGGGCCCGCGUCUGAUUAGCCAGUUGGCGGGGUAACGGCCCACCAAAGCAACGAUCAGUAGCCGGCUUGAGAGAGCGAACGGCCACAUUGGGACUGAGACACGGCCCAAACUCCUACGGGAGGCAGCAGUGGGGAAUAUUGCACAAUGGGGGGAACCCUGAUGCAGCAACGCCGCGUGAGUGAAGAAGUACCUCGGUAUGUAAAGCUCUAUCAGCAGGGAAGAAAAUGACGGUACCUGACCAAGAAGCA
rnacentral:rRNA from 1 species